UUUCCAUAACAGUUUGAUGUAAGUCUAUUCCUUGUUCAAAAGUUCCCAUUUCGGUACAAACAUGCUGGAUGCUGGCAACAGUGAGUUUGGAUUUACGCAUGUCCAUUGCAUUUGCUUGAAUUUUUUGUGCAUUUCUUUGAAUAUCAUAUUUCUCCAAGGCAUUAUGUCAAACUAUUCUAGUGCUAACAGAGCCGCUGUCUCCAUGUCUCUUUGUUUGCUUUUGUUGUUGGAAUCGAUUCUGGAGGAAAAUGUUUAAGCUUAAUGACUAUCUUUCUAUGGAAAAAACCAACUACUAAAAGCAAUCGGAAGGGAGAAUUUUCUUAGGGCUUCUAUCAGCGUUGUCACAAUAUCAGAUAGUACCAUUUAUGAAAAAUACAAAAUGCAUAGCUUACGAUUCCUUUAGCCUAAUAUCUAACCAAGGUUUACACUAGUUUACUGAAACCCAUAUUUUAUUAGUUCUUGCCCUGCAUGGAACUAUUGGCGAGGGUUUUUGGUAAACAAUUAUUAAACAUGUUCCUUACAGCCAAUAGCAUCGCUUAAUUUUUCUUUUGCAAAAUUUUAAUUAAAUAUUCCUUAUAGAAAUGUGAUCGGGCUUUAGCGGUUGUUUGUCAAAUUUUAAUUAUGGACUAUUAAAAGUGAUUUUGUUAGUUUUUUAUUGGAAGAUACAGAGGUUCACAUUUCACCAUGCGAGAGAAUGCACGACUAUCCAAACAGUUGGCCGAUAAAAAAGGCGUCUUGGAGCUUUCAUUUUUGGGGUUUAGCAAAUGUGCAGGAGGCUGCAGGUAACUAAUCAUGUUGGCUAGGUGGCACUUGAAAGCAAUCCAUGUGCCUUGUCUUUGUGCUAUCAUGAUCAAAAAUAGAUUGAAGCAAUACUUGUGCAUAGGAUCAUUUUGUCUUUGCCCAUUUUUCCUUAUCAACGUUUUUGAUACAAUUUGGGGAGAAUCUUGAGAGUUCGUGAAGAUUUAUUUCUGGAUGAGCACGAGCCCACCCUUAGCUUCCUUUCUUUUCUUGGCAGUGGGGCCCCUCAGCCACCCAUUGUCAGUCGUGUCUAAGAUAUUCUUCAGGUGAUCAAGAUGGUAUUCAAUAUAUGUGCACGCAGGCUCUAUUGAGUUGGAUAAUUAUGGACUACCAUUUUCAAGAAUUGAAGAUAGAGGGAUUUACCAGUGCACGUUUCAAGUUUGAGGUGGCAAUCUACAAUGUUUCGAUAUUUGUAACCUUCCCUUCAUGACAACUCAAGAAACAUAUAAAUUUUGGCUAUAAAUAUUAGACGUAUUUAAGAUUGUUUAACCAAAGUAGGCACAUAAAUUUAAAUUCCUGUAUUGAGUAUUACUCUUUUUUUUAAUUCUUACAACUGUCA